ACAGGGAUUGCCCUAGUAACGGCGAGUGAAGCGGCAACAGCUCAAAUUUGAAAUCUGGCUUCGGCCCGAGUUGUAAUUUGCAGAGGAAGCUUUAGGCGCGGCACUUUCUGAGUCCCCUGGAACGGGGCGCCAUAGAGGGUGAGAGCCCCGUAUAGUUAGAUGCCUAGCCUGUGUAAAGCUCCUUCGACGAGUCGAGUAGUUUGGGAAUGCUGCUCAAAAUGGGAGGUAAAUUUCUUCUAAAGCUAAAUACCGGCCAGAGACCGAUAGCGCACAAGUAGAGUGAUCGAAAGAUGAAAAGCACUUUGAAAAGAGGGUUAAAUAGCACGUGAAAUUGUUGAAAGGGAAGCGCUUGUGACCAGACUUGCGCCGGGCAGAUCAUCCGGUGUUCUCACCGGUGCACUCUGCCCGGCUCAGGCCAGCAUCGGUUCUCGCGGGGGGAUAAAGGCCCUGGGAACGUAGCUCCUCCGGGAGUGUUAUAGCCCGGGGCGUAAUGCCCUCGCGGGGACCGAGGUUCGCGCAUCUGCAAGGAUGCUGGCGUAAUGGUCAUCAGCGACCCGUCUUGAAACACGGACCAAGGAGUCAAGGUUUUGCGCGAGUGUUUGGGUGUAAAACCCGCACGCGUAAUGAAAGUGAACGUAGGUGAGAGCUUCGGCGCAUCAUCGACCGAUCCUGAUGUUUUCGGAUGGAUUUGAGUAGGAGCGUUAAGCCUUGGACCCGAAAGAUGGUGAACUAUGCUUGGAUAGGGUGAAGCCAGAGGAAACUCUGGUGGAGGCUCGCAGCGGUUCUGACGUGCAAAUCGAUCGUCAAAUCUGAGCAUGGGGGCGAAAGACUAAUCGAACCAUCUA
rnacentral:rRNA from 1 species